CGAGCCGCCCACGCUGCGCGGGCGUGCGGACAGACAGACUCACAGACAGACACACGCACACACGGGGAAUGCAAGUCCUACGAAGCUGCAAACCAGCUGCCUGUGCACAAGGACAAGAACAAGAUGCCAGGGACAACUAAAUACCAGAAGUUUUAAAACAAAGGAAUACCGUUAGAUAUUCUGCUAUCAUCACUUCUGAUUUGUACACUGGAAUCAGCAAAUGAAUGCAGACUGGUAGCCAACUGCCUUGCUGAG